UACGAAGGGGGCUAGCGUUGCUCGGAGUCACUGGGCGUAAAGGGCGCGUAGGCGGCCGAUCAAGUCAGGGGUGAAAGCCUGUGGCUCAACCACAGAAUUGCCUUUGAUACUGUUUGGCUAGAGACCGGAAGAGGUCAGUGGAACUGCGAGUGUAGAGGUGAAAUUCGUAGAUAUUCGCAAGAACACCAGUGGCGAAGGCGGCUGACUGGUCCGGUUCUGACGCUGAGGCGCGAAAGCGUGGGGAGCAAACAGG
rnacentral:rRNA from 1 species